CGCAGUCAUGUCAAAUUUGGCCCCCAUUCCUAUCACCAAUGGCCCAGGUGACUGCUACAGCAAGCCCUGCAGCUCAUGGGCCCCGGGACCCCACCCUGGGACCCGGGGAUAAAUCUGGCUGCAGACAGGG
ensembl:snoRNA small nucleolar RNA, H/ACA box 5C